rnacentral:lncRNA from 1 species
GGAAGUGGGAAAUGAGCAGAUGGGGGAGGAAAAAAAAAGAGCAAGAAGAAUCAGAGAGGAAAAAGCCGCUGGAAUGGGUCACAAUUGGCAACCCCUUCUCUUUUAAAUAACAAUAAAAAUAAAAAUCCAACUCUGACGAAAAUCAGAGAUGUCCUGACUGCGGGGAUGCGGCGGGGAAGGCAGAGCUGUCCCGGCUCGGCCGCUCCGCCCCGCUCCGCUCUCCGCGCAGCGCCCGCUGCUCCCCGCGCUGCUGCCCGUCCCGCUGCGUCCGGCCCCGCAGCUUCUCCAGGACCCAGCAGCCUCCCUUCCUCCCUCCCUCCGAGGAAGCAAAGCCCAAAACCUGGCGGCGGAGGACACGCGGCACCUCUCGCAUCCUUCCUCUCGGCGCAAGACGGGGCGCGUUCCCAUGCGCGGAGUUUGCGCGGAGGCGAAGGGGCCGGCACCUGGCCGCCCCGGGGAACCGCAGGCAGACAACUGGAUGUGAGCCUUUCAGCGAGUACAUCAUCUGCAGUGCAAAUAAAUGGAUCCUGUCUCCACAUCUGCAUUUACAUGGUGUGCAGCACCUGUAUUCAUACCGUGGUCCACCACAGCCAUCUACAGGUCAAUGCACAGGGAUUCCUCAGCAGACACAGAUAUUUCAAUGGGAGAAGAUUGCUGUGAAGACCUGAAAAUUACUGAUGUAGUCUAAAGCAAGCCUAAUCUCUCCAGUAAAUUCACAUUCAUGGGACUUGAAAAGCAAUGAGUUGGGAGGGACCUUGGCUAGACAAGGGACAUCCAAGAUGUGGCCAAACGAGAAAUGGCAUCAGGAUGGUAUACAACUAUUUCCAUGUCCUGUGUUAAGACUGGAAAAACCAGCAGGUAAGGUACUGAUUCAUGGGCACUGAAUGUCCACCACCAGUAUAAAAUUGGCCCCUUCCGGAUGCCACAAGGGAUGCUCCAACAAGACUCGUGUGCUGCCCUAAGGUCUUGCCAGAUAAACUUUUUCUAAUGCCCAAAGAAAUACAUCUCUACACCUUCUCCAAAAAUAAACUGACAACCCAGAGUGAUAGAAACAAGAUUUCUCAACCAACGUGUUGUUUAAAGUUGAAGGAAGCACGUUUCUGUUGCAGUAGAACAGACUAGACAAAGUCAGAGGAGAUAUUAUUAGCUAGGCACCAUCCCACAGGAUCAGAGGUAUGAGAUAUAAUAUAUAUAGGGACCCAAGGGUGAGAUUACCUUAAGAUAAUACACCCUUUAGGUUUUUAAAUCGCCUCCAAAGCAAUCAAACCGGUUACCAUAGCAUUCAUUUUAAUGCACAGAUAAAUUUGUAGCUCUUGUUUAUAUAGCUUAUCCUCUGGAGGCACUAAUAUGAUUUCCUUUAAAACUCAAGUUAAUGAGAAAAUAAUGGAGCAUUGUAGAUAUAAGCAAAUUUUUUUUCACUGUCACUGGCAUCAUCUUUUAUACAGCCAGAGGGCUCUUUGAAAGUAUAAGUUGGAUUUAUUUUAUGUUCCACAAAACCUUUAAAAAAAUUUUCUUUACACCAAGCUUUCUGAUUCCAGCCUAAAGCCAAAAAUACUUACUGUCUAAAUAUAUUUAUAAAUCAGUAUAUCAUCCAUAAAUCUUACCUUAUCCCUAAUAAGAAAUUUAAAGUUAUCACUCUUAAAACUUCACUUUGGCAACAUACAUUCUUAUUUUAUUGUCUUUCCUGGACAGAAAUCAGUGAUGAGAUUUGUAUGUGGCCAGGGAAUAGGGGCUACAUAUCAGUUGCUGAGUGUAGUGAGCUGUGUAAUGAAGCCAUGUUUGUUUACUUUCCUUUCUAUACACCGCUGCAGUAAAUCUCAGCUUUUUGGAGAUUUCUUUUUACUCCAUCAGCUCUCCUAAUCCUUUUGGACCAACUCAGGAGCUCUGUUCUCUUAGAAUGUCCUCGAGUGCAAGGACAGAAUAUUGCCAAGGUUGACAUAAGCAAGCCUGAUAUGGGCUGGUAUCUUGUUGCAGUAAUUCAUUUGCCUGGGAAGGAUUUAUGCUAUAUACAUAAUUUACAUUAUACUACAUUUAUAAUUCAUAAAUGUAAACAAAUGCCUACAUGGACUGGGUCUUCAGGCAUUCCAAGCUCUGUAUGAGAAUGAUGAAUAGAAAUUAUUAAGAUUAUUGACAGAAGUAAUGUAUUUUACUGGGACUGAAGGAUUGUCCCUGGUCUCACUUGACAGGAGCUUUGAUUUGGAAAGAAAAGUCUUCAAGGUUUUCUUUGCUCCUUUUCAGGAAUGAUUUUGUCACAUGGUAGUUUGUUGUAAAAUUUUCAACUUCCUUUGGUUUCUCUGAACUGUAUCUGAAUUUUAGGCUACUCUCAUAGAGUCUGUCUGUACCCCUCUUCCCUCCAGUUCCCAUCCCUGGGGAGCCUUCAUAACUGGUCUAUCUAGAGAAUUAGAAAAGCAUCUCCUCCGGAAGAUGGCCAAGUUGGACCCUCACCUCUAUGUCCCACCCCAAGUGCCUGUGGGACAGACAAGGCUUUGCAGGGUUUGGUGCAUGGUUUGUGAAGGGUUGAAGGUAUUUGGCUCCUGCCUUCAGGAUGUGUUGUUUGGGUGCCAACAUUGCCAGCCACUGUGCCCCAGAGCUUCUGAAACCUUUCCACAAUACCGUGUAGAAACUUGCAAGCUUGCUUUGGAGAGAAAAUGUAAUCACUGACUUCAGUAAGAAAGAUGCAGCAGUUGAAAGUCACUAAUGAAGUCAGCUCCAUAUGAACUAAUAAGAUAAAGCAUGUUUAAUUCCUUUACUCAAGGAUAGUGUGGUUUUGCUUCCUUUACCCUGGAGAAACGUUACUAUAGGAGAGAACAACGCAUUGCAUCACUGACAGAAGUGAAAUCUCGUCCCUCAGAAGCCAGAAAGUUGUUGCAGUCCUUUCUCAAGCAGCCUUUGCUCCCACUCCUCAUAGUCCUCCUAUGACAGUUCAUUCAACACCCCAGUUCUGACAGUAAAACCACAGGCAAUGGAACCAGCUGGGACUUAUUCUCUUUUUGACCCAACUGCUUUAAGACUAAGUAUUUCUUCCACAGGAUGGAAAAUCUUAGUUUUGGUGAAAUAUAUAAACUGUCAGUUCUGAAACGUGAAUCCUUUGGCCUCUUGAAAAAGACUCUCCAACAAAUAAAAAUAGAUGUUUUUUGACCCUUCUUAAGCAGGCUGUGAUCUUCUUUCAGAGCCUAGUUACUUAAUAGGACAGCUAUCUGAGAUCACACUACUGGGGGGUCUGAAGAAUAUAUUAUCUUGCAGAAUAGACUAUAGCUGGAAUUUCCAUGAAGGAGAAACAGAACACAAAGACUUUUGGAGGAAGAAUUGCAAAUAAUGAGGAAGUACACAGCUGACUUAAAUAAAUACAUGAGCAAAUACAUGUUGAUUGCUACUCCAUGCUGAUAAAUGCAUCCUAUUGAAAACUGGGAGAAGGGAAAAUGUCUGCUAAAUGGUAUAGUGCUGCUGAAUACUAACCAGGAAAGAGAUUUUAACUUUAUUGUUGGGAAAUCCCCAAAGCCUUUGCUGUGCUGCUUCAAUAUGCAGCUGUGGCACACACAGGACAAACAGAAUGCUGUGUAAAAAAAAUAAGCCUCUGGGAAAGGAGCUGGCGAUGCAGACCGACGCAUCACUGAGCCAAUGGUAUUCCUGGAGCAGACAUAUUGCUCUGAUUGGUGUUGCAUCGAUGAUGAAAUUGCUGACUUAAUGAGUUAAAAAAAAAAAUAAGCAAGUAAGAAGUUGCAGAGUUGUUGCUAAUUGUUUGAAAACAAAUCUCAUGCUUUAAAACGUAUUUGGAAAUAUCUAGCAAAACCCUGAAUGAACAGCAAGCAACCACUGAGAUGGUAUUAGGUAAAUGGCAGCCAAGUGAGGAAUAGACACAUUUGAAUCAGAUGAUUAUAUUUUUGGUCAAGGUGAUAAAAUCUGGUGUCACAGUUAAACAGGAGGGUAUCAAGCACUAAUUGCACUUAUUUUAGAGAUGGCUGACAUUCUGAAAAGAUUUCAUAAAUACCCCCACAUGAUCUCAGAUAUUUGGUGAUGGUUUAUGUUACAGUCCCAGCAGUACAUCCGGAUGAAAUAGGCUCUGUCAAUGUUAAUUCAAAUCUUUGAAAAGCUGUUUUUAGCUCUUCAGUCUUCUGCUACGUCUUGGGAGAGGUAAAAAAAGCUCCUCUAAGAGUUCUAUUAUGUGAUAAAGAGCGAGUCACACAAAUCUGCUCCUCAAAGAGGAAAUCCAGCAUUUCAAAAUGUAAUACCACGGGUGAGGAAAUGCUCAGAGUAGACACAACAGCCCUGCUAUUUUCCUGGUAAGCGUUGCAAUAUGGUGGAUGGUUUAAAAGUUUAAGCCAUGUAAGAGUGUCGGCGGUAGGCAUUAGGAGGGACUGAAGAGAAAGACACUGCGUCUGGGGGGAGAUGUAUUGAAAGAAGAAGCUUGAGGCUUGCAGGGCUUGGAAGAUGCUGGUUCACUGCCCUGCUAUGCCAAGCAUUUCCAGAAUGACCUCGGACACCCUCAGCCCUCUGAGCUUCAGCUCUUUACAAAAGCAGCUCCCUACCUCAAAGAUUUGUUAUAAGGCAAAAUACGGUCCAGGCUGUGAAGCAUCUCCAGUAUGGCCAAGUUUUACAAAUACCUGUGAUCUGUUGAGAUUUGGUUUUGGUCUACAUGCCACAAAUUCCCAAGUACAUAAUAAAGUCAUUUUAACAACAUGGUUAUACCAUUUUUUUGUAUGAAGACGAGGAAAUAAAACCUGAAGGGCAAUCCAAACUAAGCGAGAAUGUGUUCCUUUAGUGAAAAACAGACUCACACUCUUCAAGCAUUCUGAGCUGCUGGAUCCCAAUAUGAGAGAAAUACCUACAAAUGUGCUGAAAAUAAGGGAGCAGCAGCGUGGAAAUUAUAAUUUUCCCAUUAGAAUUUGCUAAGAAAUGCAGCUGUGCUUGCUUUCCCUACUGAUCCCCAGCCUUCAAAUUCCUCUAAAUUAAAUUGUAAAAUAAUGAUCUCCUUUUCUGUUUUCUGCUAAGCUACAUAGUUAAUCCCUGAUACAGAAAUAUAUAAAGAACACAUAAUUUUAGGAAAACCAUUAUUACUAAAAUACAGAAGGCCUCAGACCAAAGGGUUCCCACAAUUUCCAAUGCACAUUUUGAACCCAGAUCCUUUAGAUUUGCCUCGGCCUAAUCCUUUUGUUUGUAACCUGAUUUUAGGAAGAAAAAAAAUCAGACUAUGAUUUUAACGGGAACAUUCGGUUGUGAUAGCAAACACGCAUCCUGAAAUAAUCUGAAACAGCCUGUCUGCUUUAGCUUUUUUAAGCUUAUGAUUACUUUUUCCUGGUGAUUUCAAAUGACUGCAUGGUAAGAGCAGCAGACAGGCCUGGAAGAGGAGCAUCUCUGUUAUCAACAGCCACCCAUGCCAGCAUGUUGAACGUAACAGAGCUUCUGAGCUUGUAAGGACUAACACGUGGAAGAAAUAUUAAUAACUUUAAUUAAAGUUAUUCAGUUAUCUGGGAUUUCUGUGAGUUUAAUAAGGUCAUUGAUGUCAGAGGAAUGCAGGUAUCUUAAAUUUCUCACUUUCUCUACCAAAGCGAACAUGGC